rnacentral:lncRNA from 1 species
AAUGUCACUGCACCAGUUUUUAUUAGAGCCAAUCACCUAUCGUGCCUGGAACAGGGAUCAUACCCAGAUUGCCCUCAGUUCCAAUAAUCACCAAGUGCACAUCUAUAAGAAGAACGGAAGAAGAAGAACGGGAGCCGGGGGGUGAAAGCUCAUGAACUCAAGGAGCACAACGGACAUAUCACAGGUAUUGACUGGGCUCCCAAGAGCGACCGCAUCGUCACUUGUGGGGCAGACCACAAUGCCUAUGUCUGGAGUCAGAAAGAUGGUGUCUGUAAGCCAACCCUGGUGAUCCUGAGAAUUAACUGUGCAGCUACUUUUGUGAAGUAGUCCCCACUAGGGAACAAAUUUGCUGUGGGAAGUGGAGCACGAUUCAUUUCUGUUUGUUACUUUGAGUCUGAAAAUGACUGGUGGGUGAGCAAGCACAUUAAAAAGCCAAUUCGCUCCACAGUCCUCAGCUUGGAUUGCCAUCCCAACGACGUUUUGCUGGCAGCAGGAUCAUGUGACUUCAAAUGCAGACUGUUUUCUGCCUACAUUAAAGAAGUAAAAAAAAGUGGAUGAAAAGCCAGUCAGUAUGCACUGGGGCAGCAAGAUGCCCUUUGGGCAGCUGAUGUCAGAGUUAGGUGGCAGUGGCACUGGUGGCUGGGUCCACAGGGUCAGCUUCUCUGCCAGUGGGAGCCGCCUGGCCUGGGUCAGCCACAACAGCACCAUGUCUGUUGCUGAUGCCUCAAAAAGUGUGCAGGUCUCACACAGAGUUCCUGCUGCUCCUAAGUGUUUCAUUUGUCUCAGAGAACAGAGUGGUGGCUGCUGGCCAUGACUGCUGCCCAACGCUCUUUUCGAUGACCGAGGCUGCCUGACCUUCAUCUCCAGGUUGGACGUUCCAAAACAGAGCAUCCAACGCAACAUGUCUGUCAUGAAUGCUUUUGCAACAUGGACAAGAGGGCCACGACUGAGGACCGCAACACGGUGUUGGAGAUGCUGCACCCGAAUAGCAUCACUCAAGUCUCUAUUUAUGAGGUGGGCAAGCAAGAUUGUCGCAAAUUUUGCACUACUGACAUCGGUGGAGCCAUGACAAUUUAGGAUUUCAAGACUCUCGAGUCUUCCAUCCAGGGC